UCCCUGGUAGUCUAGUGGCUAAGAUUCUAUGCUCCCAAUGCAGGGGGGCUGGGUUCAAUCCCUGGUCAAGGAA
rnacentral:tRNA from 1 species